rnacentral:rRNA from 1 species
GACGAACGCUGGCGGCGUGCUUAACACAUGCAAGUCGAACGGUAAGGGGCUGAUCUUGUGGGGUGCUCAAGUGGCGAACGGGUGAGUAAAACGCGAGUGAAAUGCCCUCGCCUUUGGGGUAAAUUCAGGUAAAUGGGGCUCAAAUAGGAGAGGUGCUCCUGCUGCCUGGUGGGGGUUGGAAAGUUUCGGCGGCUGGGGAUGGACUCGCGGCUUGUCAGUUUGUUGGUGGGGUAGUGGCUUAGCAAGGCGUUGACGGGUAGCCGGCCUGAGAGGGUGACCGGGCACAGUGGGACAGAGAUACGGCCCGGAGUCCUGCGGGAGGCAGCAGUGUGGGAGAUUGCACGAUGGGGGGAAGCCUGAUGCAGCAACGCCGCGUGCGGGAUGUCGGCCUUCGGGGUGUAAGCCGCUUUCGCCUGUGAUGUAGCUUGAUUGACGGUAAUUGGUAAAGAAGCACCGGCUAACUACGUG